rnacentral:tRNA from 1 species
AUGGUGGUGGUUCAGUGGUAGAAUUCUUGCCUGCCAUGUGGGAGACCCAGGUUUGAUUCCUGGCCAAUGCA